GAUGAAGAACGCAGCGAAAUGCGAUAAGUAGUGUGAAUUGCAGAAUUCAGUGAAUCAUCGAAUCUUUGAACGCACAUUGCGCCCCUUGGUAUUCCAUGGGGCAUGCCUGUUCGAGCGUCAUUUGUACCUUCAAGCUCUGCUUGGUGUUGGGUGUUCGUCUCGCCUCUGCGUGUAGACUCGCCUCAAAACAAUUGGCAGCCGGCGUAUUGAUUUCGGAGCGCAGUACAUCUCGCGCUUUGCACUCAUAACGACGACGUCCAAAAGUACAUUUUUACACUCUUGACCUCGGAUCAGGUAGGGAUACCCGCUGAACUUAAGCAUAUCAAUAAGCGGAGGA
rnacentral:misc_RNA from 1 species